rnacentral:rRNA from 1 species
GGCGUGACGUUCUCGGCAUAUUGGGCGUAAGGGCUCGCACGCGGUUUCUUAAGUCUGAUGUGAAAGCCCCCGGCUCCACCGGGGAGGGUCAUUGGAAACUGGGAAACUUGAGUGCAGAAGAGGAGAAAGGAAUUCCACGUGUAGCGGUGAAAUGCGUAGAGAUGUGGAGGAACACCAGUGGCGAAGGCGACUCUCUGGUCUGUAACUGACGCUGAGGAGCGAAAGCGUGGGGAGCGAACAGGAUUAGAUACCCUGGUAGUCCACGCCGUAAACGAUGAGUGCUAAGUGUUAGGGGGUUUCCGCCCCUUAGUGCUGCAGCUAACGCAUUAAGCACUCCGCCUGGGGAGUACGGUCGCAAGACUGAAACUCAAAGGAAUUGACGGGGGCCCGCACAAGCGGUGGAGCAUGUGGUUUAAUUCGAAGCAACGCGAAGAACCUUACCAGGUCUUGACAUCCUCUGACAACCCUAGAGAUAGGGCUUUCCCUUCGGGGACAGAGUGACAGGUGGUGCAUGGUUGUCGUCAGCUCGUGUCGUGAGAUGUUGGGUUAAGUCCCGCAACGAGCGCAACCCUUGAUCUUAGUUGCCAGCAUUCAGUUGGGCACUCUAAGGUGACUGCCGGUGACAAACCGGAGGAAGGUGGGGAUGACGUCAAAUCAUCAUGCCCCUUAUGACCUGGGCUACACACGUGCUACAAUGGACAGAACAAAGGGCUGCGAGACCGCAAGGUUUAGCCAAUCCCACAAAUCUGUUCUCAGUUCGGAUCGCAGUCUGCAACUCGACUGCGUGAAGCUGGAAUCGCUAGUAAUCGCGGAUCAGCAUGCCCGGUGAAAUACCGUUUCCCGGGGCCUUGUACACACCGGCCCGUCACACCACGAAGAGUUUGCAACACCCGAAGGUCGGUGAGGUAACCUUUAUGGAGCCAGCCGCCGAAGGUGGGGCAGAUGAUUGGGGUGAGCUAGAAGGGAAGCCCCCGACAGAAAAAAGGGAGGCUUGGGCCCC